AUGCAAUGGCCUGGUCCCUGGUUCCUGUCCCUGAGGGUGAGUCCCUCACCACCAAGAGGUCCUUCCACAGGAAGUCUUCUUGCUGGUGCAGAUCAGGUUUCUGGGCUUCUUUGGAUCCUAAACCUUGUAGAGCCACCCGGACUGGGCAGUAGUUACCUGUGCAGGGGACAGAGGGGCCCACACUGCCACCAUCCCUCCCCUGCAAACAUGGGAGACCCCAACAGAGUCCCCUGCAGGCAGAACCUCGCAGUAACAACCCUUUCUCCCACCCCCGUGCAGACAGCACCUGUCCCACCUGACAGCCUUCUCAGCUCAUCCAGGAGCCGCCAUGGACACCUCCUGCCCCGCUCUGCUGAGGGACGCGGGAGCCACUGGGACACAGAGGGCUUGGGGGACCUGACAUCGGUCCCCACCCCAGGAAGUCCCCAGGUUGGAAUUCUGGCCUCGGGAUUCUGCUCCCUCUCCCGGGGCUCCCAGGAAGGGAGACGAGUGGUGCACAAAUGAAAAUGCAACAACAGAAAUCAAAUGAACAGAAAUCAAAACACAAAAAUGAACAAACUCACUCUGCUCCCGUUACCAACAGAAACCAUGAACUGUAUCCACUACACCACACCAACAAGGAGACUGUUCUAUGGAAGAAAAUGUUAAAAUGAGAAAACACAAAAUGAACAUGAAUGGUGGCAGGAAACAAAAUAGAAAAAGUACAAAGUAACCAACAUGGAAAAAGAAAAACAAAUUUGACCCAACAGGAGCAGCAGGAUCCGAUUCUUCCGCCGGAUUCCUCUCCCUCUCCAGGGCUCCCCCAGGAAGGGUCAGCAGGGCUGACGUCUGGGAGACCCCAAGCCAGCAGCUGACACAGAUCAGCUCUCAUGGCUCUGACUACUUGAGCACAAAGUUGAAACAAACAGAAAUCAAAUGAACAGAAAUCAGAACACAAAAUGGACAAAGUCAGGUCACAUCACCAACAGAAAACAGGAACCAAAUGAACUCAACUGGACUAACAACUGAGACUAACCCUAUCGAAACAGUUAAAAGUGAGAAAACACAAAUACAUAAUAAACCAUAAAGAAAAAAAUCCCA
rnacentral:lncRNA from 1 species